AGAGUUUGAUCCUGGCUCAGGAUGAACGCUGGCGGCGUGCCUUAGGCAUGCAAGUCGAACGGUAGCUCUUCGGAGCGAGAGUGGCAGACGGGUGAGUAACGCGUAGGAACCUACCCUUUGGUGGGGAAUAGCCCAGCGAAAGUUGGGAUAAUACCGCAUAAUCCCUCCGGGGAAAAGGAUGUAACUAUCCGCCGAAGGAAGGGCCUGCGUCCUAUCAGCUUGUUGGUAAGGUAAUGGCUUACCAAGGCUUCAACGGGUAGCCGGUGUGAGAGCACGACCGGCCACAGGGUUACUGGGACACGGAACCCACGUCUACGGACGUGCAGCAACCGGGAAUAUUGCGCAAUGGACGAAAGUCUCGACGCAUCGACGACCGCGUGGAGGAUGAAAGGCCUUCGGGUUGUAAACUCCUUUUAUUUAAGGGAACAUAAUGAGGGUACUAGAUGAAUAAGCACCGGCAAACUACGUGCCAGCAGCAGCGGUAAACACGUAGGGUGCAAGCGUUAUCCGGAUUUAUUGGGCGUAAAGAGUAUCGUAGGCGGUUAAGAUAAGUCAUUCGUUAAAGCCCGAGGCUUAACUUCGGAAAGGCGAGUGAUACUGUUUCAACUUGAGACAUAGUCGCGGGGAUAUUGGAAUGUCUGGGUGCGAAGGGGGUUGAACAUUCCGUUGAGAUCAGACAGAACACCGAGGGCGAAGGCAGAUAUCUAGGCUAUUGCAGACGCUGAUGAACGAAAGCUGGGGUAGCAAAAAGGAUUAGAGACCCUUGUAGUCCCAUGCUGUAAACGAUCUCUACUAGCUGGUUGAGUCUAACUCAACUGGCGUAAGCUAACGCGUUAAGUAGAGCGCCUGGGGAGUACGGCCGCAAGGCUAAAACUCAAAGGAAUUGACGGGGAGGCGCACAACCAGUGGAGCAUGUGGUUUAAUUCGAUACGAAGCGUAGGACCUUACCUGGGUUUGACAUGCUACUGCGAACUCUGUGAAAGCAGGGAUCCUUCGAGGAGUAGCACAGCUGUUGCAUGGUUGUCGUCAGCUCGUGUCGUGAGAUCUCCGCUUAAGUGCGGUAACGAGCGCAACCCUCAUCUUGUGUUGAAUUUCACAAGAGACUGCCUUAGUUAAACUAGGGAGGAAGGAGAGGAUGACGUCAAAUCAGCACGACGCUUAUAUCCAGGGCAACACACAUCCUACAAUGGUUAGGACAAUGGGUUGCGAAGCAGUAAUGCGGAGCUAAUCCCUUAAACCUAACCUCAGUUCAGAUUGUGGGCUGAAAUUCGCCCACAUGAAGUCGGAAUUGGUAGUAAUCGCGGGUCAGCAGACCGCGGUGAAUACGUUCUCGCCUCUUGUACACACUGCCCGUCAAGCGAGGAGAGUUGGGGGUAUCCAAAGUUGUUUUCUUAACUUUAAUUUAUUAGAGAAAGAGACACCUAAGGGUAAACUCAGCAAUCAGCACUAAGUCGUAACAAGGUAACC
rnacentral:rRNA from 2 species